rnacentral:misc_RNA from 1 species
CCGAAUGUGUCUUGCGGACGUAUUUACCGCCGCCUUGUGGUCGGUCAGUCGCACGAGUACGCGUCGCCACCGACAUAGGGGCUCGAACGAUUCGUGUUUUGCGUCAGCCACACACACGUCUUGCCCCGUACGAGUGUGCUCCGGCGGAACCUUUGUGCAAAGGCAUCCUCCUGAAUACGUGUGGUGGACCUUGCGGGUUUCUCCAGUUUUCGAAGACAUCUGUUGGUCCUGGAAUCGUCGCACGUGCAUUGGACACGGUCGCGUGGGUGCAACCAACCAAACUCCAGGCCGAUUCAGGCGCGGACCCGAACGUAUAGUGACGUUCGGCGUCAUUCAUUAUUUUUUAAUCUUGCAUUGCGCACUACACUUAUUAUUAUUAUUAUUAUUGUUCUUAUUAUAAUUUGU